rnacentral:rRNA from 1 species
UACGAAGGGGGCUAGCGUUGCUCGGAAUCACUGGGCGUAAAGCGCACGUAGGCGGCUUUCUAAGUCAGGGGUGAAAUCCUGGAGCUCAACUCCAGAACUGCCUUUGAUACUGGAAAGCUUGAGUUCGCGAGAGGUGAGUGGAACUGCGAGUGUAGAGGUGAAAUUCGUAGAUAUUCGCAAGAACACCAGUGGCGAAGGCGGCUCACUGGCCCGAUACUGACGCUGAGGUGCGAAAGCGUGGGGAGCAAACAGG